rnacentral:rRNA from 1 species
GACGAACGCUGGCGGCGUGCUUAACACAUGCAAGUCGAACGGUAAGGCCCUUCGGGGUACACGAGUGGCGAACGGGUGAGUAACACGUGGGUGAUCUGCCCUGCACUUCGGGAUAAGCCUGGGAAACUGGGUCUAAUACCGGAUAGGACCACUGCCUGCAUGGGUGGUGGUGGAAAGCUUUUGCGGUGUGGGAUGGGCCCGCGGCCUAUCAGCUUGUUGGGGGGGUGAUGGCCUACCAAGGCGACGACGGGUAGCCGGCCUGAGAGGGUGACCGGCCACACUGGGACUGAGAUACGGCCCAGACUCCUACGGGAGGCAGCAGUGGGGAAUAUUGCACAAUGGGCGCAAGCCUGAUGCAGCGACGCCGCGUGAGGGAUGAAGCUUUUCGGAGUGUAAACUUCUUUUAUGUGGGAAGAUUAUGACGGUACCACAUGAAUAAGGACCGGCUAACUACGUGCCAGCCGCCGCCGUAA